rnacentral:rRNA from 1 species
UACGGGGGGGGGCAAGCGUUGUUCGGAAUUACUGGGCGUAAAGGGCUCGUAGGCGGCCAGCUAAGUCGGAUGUGAAAUCCCCAGGCUCAACCUGGGAACUGCAUCCGAUACUGGAUGGCUUGAAUCCGGGAGAGGGAUGCAGAAUUCCAGGUGUAGCGGUGAAAUGCGUAGAUAUCUGGAGGAAUACCGGUGGCGAAGGCGGCAUCCUGGACCGGCAUUGACGCUGAGGAGCGAAAGCUAGGGGAGCAAACGGG